rnacentral:lncRNA from 1 species
AAAAUGCAGCCGCUGCACAGCCAAAGCCGGAACUGUCAGGGAACUGAAGCCCCCUGGCCCUGAACCAAAUCCCGGCACAGGAAAGCCAGGCUGUUUCUUACAGGAAACCCCAUCCAGCGAAUGCCCACUGCUGCCAGUGCCUGUGCGCACCCCGGAGACGCAUCAGACAACCAGCAAAACCAGGCCCAUUGGACUUCACAGAUCUCUCCUGGUGCAGCCGGUUCGGAACCUUGUGGAGUUGGCUGCCUGCCCGAGAAACACAUGUGCAAUCCCACCCUUCCUCAACCAACCUACACACUGAAUGUACAUGCCAACUAGAUGCCACGUGAGUGAUAUACUCAGACAAGAGAGGAUGCUGUCCCUAUUUCCAGAUGCUUCGAGUAGGAGCUAAGGUGAAGGUGGUGAAGAUGGUUGUAUGAUUUUUCUCCUUCGGUGAACCACAGCCCUGAGACAAACUCAAGUUUCUUUGUGAGGUAGUGCCAAGUCUAUGAAGUAAGUCACACAACAGAGGAUCCCAGGCCACACCCUUGGACUCCCGGGUAUGGAUUGUCUCACGUGAUAACUGAUACUCUCAGACUUCCAACUCCACCCUGGAUCCUCUCUGAUCCCUAGAACUACAGUCCCAUUCUAUCUAUAGUCAUACUAGCAUAAGAUAGAUAGAUAGAUAGAUAGAUAGAUAGAUAGAUAGAUAGAUAGAUAGAUAGAUAUAGAUAGAUGUGUGUGUGUGUGUGUAUUCAAAUGCCAACAGACAUAUCAGAUUUAAUAUGUUUAAGGCAAAUGCACAAUCGAUGACCGUGCCCUAGCCCAGACAUGCUUCCCUUCCUACACCUGUACUUCCUUAGUUCAGUAAAUAUCAGCCUUCCUUUUUCACUGCAUAAAAUAUAAAGUUUGAAA